AAUACUCUAACUUGUUUUUAAAUGGGAGCAGAUGCCUCUGUUUCUUGAGCUGACUUCCAGAUUCUGAGAAAUAAAUGAAGAGUGGAGGCUUGUUUUGGUAGAGGCUGAGAAAAGGAGUUGGCCAUAUUUGCCCUUCAGAACUUCGUGUCAUCCCCCAGCUCCCCAACGGCAGGGCCACAUUCUUUCACAGGACGGAGUUGGGGCAGAUUAUGGCUUCCUCUGGAUUGGAUUUCCCUUGGCUUCCCUGAGGGCAAUCCCCCGAGGAAGCACAUCCUGGAGCCAAACUCACCCAAUGAACCACAGCAACAGCUCCUAGGAGAAUGAAGAGUGUGAAUGGAUGGCCUUUUCAAAAUGAUGAGCCUGGAAGAGUUACAGACUCUGGCCCGAAAGAACCAAAGUUGAAGGUAGAGAUGUUUUAAGGAUGAGCAGAGCAGAACAACUUAGCAGUGGGAUGUUAAAGGCAACAUGAAUCAAGAAAACAGAUACUGGCUCCCCAAACCCAUGAUGAAGAAAGAAGCUGGAAGAACUCUCAGAAGAGUUUUCAAGACCAUGAGUGCCCUUGCCAAAACCCAAUGGAAAAGUCUCUAGAGAAACAGAGGUCAUAGAAGUUUAAAGGCUCAAUAAAAUUCCAUGAAGCAUCAACCUGAAGAAUAACAGCCAUGCAAAAAAAGCUCAUCAUCACUGGUCAUUAGAGAAAUGCAAAUUAAAACCACAAUGAGAUACCAUCUUAUGACAGAAUGGUGAUUAUUAAAAAGUCAGGAAACAACAGAUGCUGGUGAAGCUGUGGAGAAAUAACAACACUUUUACACUGCCAUUGUGGAAGACAGUGUGGCGAUUCCUCAAGGAUCUAGAACCAGAAAUACCAUUUGACUCAGCAAUCCCAUUACUGGGUAUAUACCCAAAGGAUUAUAAAUCAUUCUACUAUAAAGACACAUGCACAUGUAUGUUUAUUGCAGCACAAUUUACAAUAGCAAAGACUUGGAAUCAACCCAAAUGCCCAUCAAUGAUAGACUGGAUAAAUAAAAUGUGGCACAUAUAAAUCAUGGAAUACCAUGCAGCCAUAAAAAAGAAUGAGUUCAUGUCCUUUGCAGGGACAUGGUUGAGGGUGGAAACCAUCAUUCUCAGCAAACUAGCACAGGAACAGAAAACCAAACACUGCAUGUUCUCAUUCAUAAGUGGGAGUAGAACAGUGAGAACACAUGGACACAGGGAGGGGAACGUCACACACUGGGGCCUGUUGGUGGGUUGAGGGCAAGGGGAGGGAGAGCAUUAGGACAAAUACCUAAUGUAUGUGGGGCUUGAAACCUAGAUGAUGGGUUGAUAGAUACAGCAAACCACCAUGGCACAUGUAUCAAAUAAGCACAUGUACCUAUGUAACAAACCUGCACAUUCUGCACAUGUAUCCCAGAACUUAAAGUAAAAUAAAAUAAAA
rnacentral:lncRNA from 1 species